UACGUAGGGUGCAAGCGUUGUCCGGAAUUAUUGGGCGUAAAGGGCUCGUAGGCGGUCCAUCGCGUCGGGAGUGAAAAGCUGGGGCUUAACCCCAGUCCUGCUUUCGAUACGGGUGGACUAGAGGUAGGCAGGGGAGAACGGAAUUCCUGGUGUAGCGGUGAAAUGCGCAGAUAUCAGGAGGAACACCGGUGGCGAAGGCGGGUUGCUGGGCUGACACUGACGCUGAUGUGCGAAAGCUAGGGGAGCGAACGGG
rnacentral:rRNA from 1 species